GUGCCAGCCGCCGCGGUAAUACAGAGGGUGCAAGCGUUGUUCGGAAUUACUGGGCGUAAAGCGCGUGUAGGCGGUCUAGUAAGUCGGUCGUGAAAUCCCUAGGCUUAACCUAGGAACUGCGAUCGAAACUGUUAGGCUAGAGUAUCGGAGGGGAUGGCGGAAUUCCUGGUGUAGAGGUGAAAUUCGUAGAUAUCAGGAGGAACACCUGUGGCGAAGGCGGCCAUCUGGAAGAUUACUGACGCUGAGACGCGAAAGCGUGGGGAGCAAACAGGAUUAGAUACCCUCGUAGUCC
rnacentral:rRNA from 1 species